CCUACGGGAGGCAGCAGUGAGGAAUAUUGGUCAAUGGACGAGAGUCUGAACCAGCCAAGUAGCGUGAAGGAUGACUGCCCUAUGGGUUGUAAACUUCUUUUAUAUGGGAAUAAAACAGGGUAUGCAUACCCUCUUGUAUGUACCAUAUGAAUAAGGAUCGGCUAACUCCGUUCCAGCCGCCGCGGUAAUACGGAGGAUCCGAGCGUUAUCCGGAUUUAUUUGGUUUAAAGGGAGCGCAGCUGGAUUGUUAAGUCAGUUGUGAAAGUUUGCGGCUCAACCGUAAAAUUGCAGUUGACACUGGCAGUCUUGAGUACAGUAGAGGUGGGCGGAAUUCGUGGUGUAGCGGUGAAAUGCUUAGAUAUCACGAAGAACUCCGAUUGCGAAGGCAGCUCACUGGACUGCAACUGACACUGAUGCUCGAAAGUGUGGGUAUCAAACAGGAUUAGAUACCCUGGUAGUC
rnacentral:rRNA from 1 species